AAUAAUUGAUCAAACUAAAGAAUUCUAAUUUUUUUUAAGAAGAAGAAUGAUUCCAUGAAAUAAGAUAACAAUAAAAUACAAAUUAAUAGGAAUGAAUUUUCAAACAUAUACAUAAAAAAAAAUAAUGUUACCUUAUAAUAUUGCUUUGCAUUAUUACAAUAAUAAUAGGACCCAAGUGGCCAACAAAAGAAAAAGAAAAAAAAAACAAAAUUUUGAAAAGUAACUGAAUGAUUAAAAUGAAAAGUAAAAAUGUUAAGUCCCUGGCAAGUGUACCAAAUCGUUAUGAAGUAAUAUAAACAGUAAGACCGAGUAUCGUUUUCCCAAAGGAUUCAGUGGCCUAGACGUUCGUGUGAUUUGAUCGCAUAAGACUUGAAAGAAGAAUAAUUUGGAAUUUUGAUGUAAAGAUAAAAGUAAACAUGCAAAAUGCAAAAUGCAAAACGUGAAUAAAUUGGCAAAUAAGAUUAGGAAUUAAUGGAGUUGUUGGGGUUUACAAUUUCAUCCUUAUUUACCCUCCUAUAUCUACUAUUCUUAUUAAAUUCACUUUAUUAUCAAUGCCAUGCAACUAUCUAAUCUACUGUAAACCCGAUCCCUCAGCGAAAAGAGCUUAUUAAUAAUUAUUAGUUUACUAUCCCUAGUCUCCCUAGUAAUUAAUUACGCAUUAUUAACAGAAGUUUAAAGCAAUUGACCGUCCUACUCUUAUCCCUAGGUAGUAUUUCAUAAUAAAGAGAAUUCUUCCUAGUUCUAG
rnacentral:lncRNA from 1 species